rfam:Candida auris strain 6684 Scaffold88, whole genome shotgun sequence.
GAAAUCAAAGUUUUUGGGUUCUGGGGGGAGUAUGGUCGCAAGGCUGAAACUUAAAGGAAUUGACGGAAGGGCACCACCAGGAGUGGAGCCUGCGGCUUAAUUUGACUCAACACGGGGAAACUCACCAGGUCCAGACACAAUAAGGAUUGACAGAUUGAGAGCUCUUUCUUGAUUUUGUGGGUGGUGGUGCAUGGCCGUUCUUAGUUGGUGGAGUGAUUUGUCUGCUUAAUUGCGAUAACGAACGAGACCUUAACCUCUAAAUAGUGCUGCCAGCGCGCCUCUUGUGCUGGCGCUGCACUUCUUAGGGGGACUAUUGACUUGAAGUCGAUGGAAGUUUGAGGCAAUAACAGGUCUGUGAUGCCCUUAGACGUUCUGGGCCGCACGCGCGCUACACUGACGGAGCCAGCGAGUUGACCUUGGCCGAGAGGCCUGGGAAAUCUUGGGAAACUCCGUCGUGCUGGGGAUAGAGCAUUGCAAUUGUUGCUCUUCAACGAGGAAUUCCUAGUAAGCGCAAGUCACCAACUUGCGUUGAUUACGUCCCUGCCCUUUGUACACACCGCCCGUCGCUACUACCGAUUGAAUGGCUUAGUGAGGCCUCCGGAUCUGGCAUGCCCCGAGGGCANNN